rnacentral:lncRNA from 1 species
UCUGCUUAUCUUCUUCUUUUAUGCCUUGUCUGCUCUUUGAAGGAGGGGUAUGCCAAGGGACGAAGAGCAACUGUUGCAGAGAGUCACCACCUUGAGCACAGCCAUACCAUCCAAGUUAGCUCUCUUCUACCCUCCUCUAUUUGCAGCCCUGCAACCAAAGGUUAAUUACCUCAUCUCUCUCUCGCUCUCUCACACACAAACCAACCAGGCUUGAGCUGGCUCUUGGCUUGUUCAUUACUUUAGUAUUUUACAGUAAAAACACUCAUUGAGAUCAUGCUUUAUUGAAUCCAUUGUGCUGGCUGGCGGGCUAGCAUUCAUGUCAGUAGGAUCGUAUUUGUUGAUUAAGCUUAUCGUUAUACUCAACGUAUACAGUCAUGUCUGCUGUCUGCUGCUUUGCCAGUUACAGACCAGCAGUUAGCCUUUCUUUUCUUUUCCCUGGACCAAUUAGAAUAAGUCAUUUUCAAUAGUCUUUUUUGGACAAAAGAAUAAUUUGUUCAUUUAUCCAAAAGAAGUAGCCAAGCUGCUACGACGAAAACACCAUGGUAGUAGUAGCAGUACAGCACAAAUACUAAGCUAAUUAAACCUAGAGAUUCGUUCAAAAGAAAAACACAGACAUGUUCAGGACCCAAGCACGGCAGAGAUCGUUUUUAAACAAGUGCCUAGCAAUAUUUCUAAUUCCAUAAAGCCUGAAACAAAAUAGAAAAAAAAGCAGCAGUGUGCUAUUUUUCCCUCCAUAAAUCUUGUAUUUUCUCCUUUCCAGAUACAGUAAAAGGGAAGCUUUCCAUGCAAAACGAAGAAUUACAGCCAAUAAUACAAUUUCCUUUUUGGACUUGAAUUGAGUCCAUUGAAACUCCACUAACCUUUUCGUACUUGGAAUAUAUGCCAACCGACUCUAGCCACUGCCACACCCGUAGGACCCUCUUUUCCAAUCCUUAACAAACUUGAGCUCAAUUGAUUGUCCUUCUUGAUGACUUUUUAAGGCAAAGAAAAUUUUCAUUAUUUGAAUUUAAUGAUGUGUGUUCCAUUAAUUAUUAAAAUACUUUUUUUUCUUUAGAAAAAAAGGGUAAGUUAAUUAUUAUCCCCAAAAGUUCUAGUCCAUGGGAGGCCAGAGGAAGGUUAUGCUUUUAGGCCAAUUCUAGCAUUGUUUAGCGACUUUGGUCAUAUGAAAAGAUAUAAAAAGAAUCUUAAAAAAAUAAAGGAAUAAUUUUGUCUUCAAACAUUGCUCUGACAACAGAAUGAAAAGUAGUACGGUCUUGGAUAAAUACUCGUUGCUCGUAGGCAGUGCAAUAGCUAAGGUAAGGUGAAAUAAUAUGAUUGGUGAUGCAAUGAUUGAAACUAAGGAAAACUUUUCAUUUUUCUCCCUUUUUUUUUUCAUGAUUUCAAAGCUUUUGGAACUAAUACUUUGGAAUUCUUAAUUAAUUGCAAAGAUUUAAGGAAAUUUGGUUUUGUUUUUCAUUGAUUCAAAAGAUUAGCUAACCACAAUCUUAAAUCUCAGAAUUAUAUGUUUUUGGAUUUCCUGAUUUUCUGUAUUGGAAAGCAAUGCUCUGUUGUCGUUAAAACAUUUCUUUCAAUCUUUAGGUAAUGCAUUAUCGGGCAGUCACUUUCAUCAGCGAUAAAUCAUACCUAAUAAUAGCAAUUUAAUAGUAAAUUAUCAAUGAACCAACAGGGCAAGGGUGUGCAACAAUAUGUUAAUCCAUUUUUUUCAUAACCAAUUUUAAAUAAAUAAAUUGCAUCGAUCCCAUCAUAUAUUAAUUAGCAGUUUUAAUUUUAUCUUUAAUUCUUAAAACAUUCUAGUAUUGGAAUGCGUAUGUGAUGCAUGGUUUCCACUUUCAGUAUUAGACAAAAAGUCAUCUUUACAAGUUGUCCACAAGCAUGGUCCAUGCUCUCAACUCUAUCAUCACGAUAAAGCAAAUAUCCCCACUCACGCCGAGAUCCUCCUCCAAGAUGUAGCCCGGGUCAAGUCCAUCCACUCAAAACUUGCCAAGAGCCUAGGCUCUACCAAAGUCGACCAGACUGAUGCAGCCAAUAUCCCUGCCAAGGAUGGCAGCGUGGUGGGGUCGGGCAAUUACGUAGUUACCGUGGGUCUGGGCACCCCGAAGAAAGAUUUAACUCUCAUAUUUGAUACUGGAAGUGACAUUACAUGGACACAAUGUCAGCCUUGUGUAGGAACUUGCUAUAAACAGCAAGAUCCUGUUUUUGCCCCAUCCUUGUCCUCAACAUAUUCCAACAUUUCAUGCAGCUCAACUACCUGCAAUUCACUGGCUUCUGCAACAGGUAACUUUCAUCGAUUUUGUUGGAUAUCUUUCAAGCCUGGAUUCAAAUAACUAGUUAAUUCGUUGUCAUUAUAUUCUUUCAGGUAACACACCUGGCUGUUCAUCAUCAGCUUGUGUCUACGGCAUUCAAUAUGGAGACUCAUCUUUCUCAGUUGGAAUCUUUGCUAAAGAAAAGCUCACCUUGACAUCAACUGAUGUGUUCGAUGACUUUCUAUUUGGUUGUGGCCAAAAUAAUCAAGGUCUUUUCGGAGGGGCAGCCGGAUUGAUAGGACUUGGCCGAGAUAAAUUAUCUUUACCUUCACAAACCGCCUCUAAAUACAAGAAAUACUU